UGCCAGGUGUAAAAUGCUCUUUAGGGGGACAGCUGGCAGAGGGGGUAAGAUUUGUGUUUCUUGCACUAAUAUCCUGUCACUUGAUUUUUCAACUUUCCAGGCGUACAACCUGGAAACAGAAAUGUAAACGAUCUAAAGGGCAGAUAGUGAUUCCCUUUAAAUUUGCUUUCAGAAUGUACUCUGAGCUCGACCUUCCUAAUCACACAUGUCUGGCUCUGGUUAAAGUCUGUAUUCCCCGGAGCCCCUGCCACGGCUGGGCCACAGACGGGCUGGAGAAGUCAGGGGCAGCCUAGGCUGUUUGUACCAAACGCACACAAACACGCGUUUCCCCGUUCCCUUGCCCCCAAAGCAGACACGGACACCAUCCUGCUCUGCCGUGGAGCCUGGAGUCCCCAGUCAUCCACCGAGACUUCACAGCCACGCCAGAGAUACCAGCCCUGAGACGUGGCCCUGAGCAAGAGCGGGGGAUCCCGACCCACCUCAGUGAAUACCCGCGACUGCUAAGACUCGUGCUUCGGAAGGGUACCGCACUACGGCGUGACCAGCAACCGUUUUUUCAAUGGUUCCCCCACAAUGAGUAAAAAUCCAUUAACAAGA